rnacentral:snRNA from 1 species
AUCGCUUCUCGGCCUUUUGGCUAAGAUCAAGUGUAGUAUUUGUUCUUAUCAGUUUAAAAAAAGAAUGUGUCAGAGGUAGAGAGGUAGGGCCAUGAGGCUGUUUUGCGUGAUCCAUAAACUAGAUAUUUGCUGUAUUCUAUCAAAUCUAAGAUAUCUCUAAUUUCCAACUUAC